GGUUUUCCUCACCUUCUCCUGAGAAAGGUUGUUUUUGAAUAAAUUCUAUGUAUUCGGGGUCUAUCUCAAAGCUAGAUGCUAUGAUAGGCUUUGAAGAUUUUGGUGGUUCGAGAUGUGUGCCCAUAGGUCUAUGAAAUUCAUAGAUAGACAUGUUUGAAUUCAUAAUAGACCAGAGAUCAAGGAUUAGAUAAGAAGAAAGAAUAGCAGAGAUGAGGCAAAGGAUAAAAGGAAAAUAUUUUUUUAUUUAUUUUUUAGAAAAUGAUUAAACUAGUUCGUAGUCAACUCAGCAACCGUUUCCCCGGCAACGGCGCCAAAAAUGCUUGUUGACACUUGCUAACACCACUUGAAUACUAGGUUGUCAUCCCCAGCAUGGCACUAGAGUGUACUAUGGUAUUUAUACGCACACAGAUGAUCCGCAAGCGCACGGAUACCGUUGAAGCUUUUACCCGGUUAAAGGUUUUAUCGUAUCCACAGGGAAACGGGAGAACCAACUACGCUCUAACUUAACCAAGAUAGAUAGAUAGGUGUAAAUAGGAAAGAUGAUAGAAUCGAAUAAGAACAAUAUUAAAGGUAAGAUAACAGUGAGUGAUAAUAUGGAAAUAGAGAAUAGAGCAAUUCUAGUAUAUGGGCGAUGGUAGCAGAAUAGAGAGGAUAACUAUGGUUUCUCUACUUCAAAGGGGU
rnacentral:lncRNA from 1 species